rnacentral:rRNA from 1 species
UACGUAGGGUGCAAGCGUUAAUCGGAAUUACUGGGCGUAAAGCGUGCGCAGGCGGCUUUGCAAGACAGAUGUGAAAUCCCCGGGCUUAACCUGGGAACUGCAUUUGUGACUGCAUGGCUGGAGUGCGGCAGAGGGGGAUGGAAUUCCGCGUGUAGCAGUGAAAUGCGUAGAUAUGCGGAGGAACACCGAUGCGAAGGCAAUCCCCUGGGCCUGCACUGACGCUCAUGCACGAAAGCGUGGGGAGCAAACAGG